UGAUGAUGAAGAUGAUGAUGAUGACGAUGAAGGUCAUGGUAUAGUGAUCUUCCCCCGGAAUAGUCGUGGCAAGUCAAAACUAGCAUCAUCAUUAUCAUCAUCAUCGUCACCAUCA
rnacentral:miRNA from 1 species